ACUCAAAGGAAUAGACGGGGAUCCGCACAAGCAGUGGAGGAUGCGGUUUAAUUCGAUGAUACGCGAAGAACCUUACCGAGGCUUGACAUCCCGAUCGUACCCUAUCGAAAGACUGGGGUCAGUUCGGCUGGAUCGGUGACAGGUGCUGCAUGGCCGUCGUCAGCUCGUGUCGUGAGAUGUUGGGUUAAGUCCCGCAACGAGCGCAACCCUUGUCGUGUGUUGUAUUUUUCACACGAGACCGCCCGGGCCAACCGGGAGGAAGGUGGGGAUGACGUCAGGUCAGCAUGGCCCUUACGCCUCGGGCUACACGCGUCCUACAAUGGCAGGUACAACGAGUUGCUAAACCGCGAGGUGGAGCUAAUCUCAUCAAAACCUGUCUCAGUUCGGAUUGCAGGCUGAAACUCGCCUGCAUGAAGCUGGAAUUGCUAGUAAACGUGGGUCAGCAUACCACGUUGAAUACGUUCCCGGAUCUUGUACACACCGCCCGU
rnacentral:rRNA from 1 species